AGUCGUCGCUAGUAGACCGAGAGGUGAUCCAUAAAGGGUGGUGGGUAAGGUCUCAGGAGCAGGUACACGACUCCCUGGCUGGCUCACUGAUUUAUUCAUCACUUCUAUGCAUUUGCAUCGUGACCAGAACUUCUGUGUUCCAGACGCUCUUAGCACCAGUGGCAACAAGGUGGCAACCCAGCCCCAGGGCUCAGACGCUCAUAAUGAAGUUAGGUUUUAAGUGCAGUCAACUGUGGGCGGUGUUACGAUAGCACCUGUAUGGGCUGGUGAAGGCAUAAAUGAUGGACUUGACUGUUCCGUUUGGGGGAGGAGGCUAUAAAAAGCCUUCGUGUAGGGUGUGGGCUCAUCCUGAAUCACACAGAGGUCCAACUGCUUCACUCCUUACUUUAAGUUACUCCAUGGUGGAAUCCUUGAAACUCAGAGGCAACUUAGUGAAUCCUAGAGUUCAGCCCUCUUCCUACAGUAACUGAAACCCUGACAGUGUAUUUUGAUUUAUCAGGGAAUUUUUUUUUUCUCCUGCAAGGGCCAUUCCCUCUUGCUAGAUUUUGGCUGAGAAGGAGGGUAUUGUGACCAUUUUGGCUGUAUGCUGUUAGCACGUAGUGAUGUGUAGGGGUGGGGGAGUAAAGAAUAAAAUGUGCCUGCACUUGCUUGGGUACAAAUCUUCUGAAUUCUACAUGAGAAGAAACCCACAGUUUGUGCACAUUUUUCAAGAUCGAUGUUUUUCUCUUUAACAUAUUUAUGGUACUUUUCCUAAAAUGUUAAAGUAUAGACGACUAUGGAGAUUUAAAAGAAAAAGUGAGAAAUGUGAAAUUAAAGGCAAAAUAGGAUUAAAUCUCAAGGUAUGUAAUGUACCAGAUGAUGGUAGGGCCUGGAAUAUUCAGUAGGGUAUCCUGGCAAAAGGUGAGGAAAUGUUGGUCUUUGUUAUCUUUUGACCCUUCUUAAUGAAUAGCCAUGUUGGCGACCACUCACCUGUCCGUUUCACUGUUUGCCAUUAGUUGUUCAUUGGCCUGUAAUAGUUGGGAUAAGGUUGAUCUGCAUAUUACACAGGGGGAAAAAAGAGACUUCCAUAUAUAUGAUCAUUUAUUUCUCUCUCACCUAAAAAGAGUUUGGACAUAGGCCUGGAAUCGGGGGUUCAGGCUUCUUUUUCAACCCCACCUUCCUCAGCACAUGGAUUUUGUCCACAAGGUCACGUCUUAGCUCAAGAUAGACGCUUGGAGCUCUGGCUGUCACUUCUGAGAUGUAGAUACUAAGAAAGACAAAAUUGAGCCCUCAAAUGAAUCCAUCCUCUUCCAUAACCCACACAACCUUACAACAUACUGGCUAAUCUGGCUGCAAGAAAGAUUGGGAAAUGGAUUCUUUUAUGCCCAGUGGCAAAAUAUCCUGCUAAAAACUGGGACCCUGAUACUCUGGAGAAAAGGAGAAUGUGUGUUGGGGCAGACAGGCAGCAGUGUCUGUCUCAAGGCUUCAUCAGAAGGGCCUUGAGGUGGAGAGGAGACAAAGGUCAGUGCAGUAGAGAACUGGAGGAAGUCAGGGUUGAAUGUUCCCCACGUGGACAGUGACAUUGCCAAGAAUGAUGUUGGGAUGCAGUCAGAUGGCCGAGUCAUUGAAAGAUUAGUGACCUGGAGCCCAGGAGGAAGAGGUGGUUGCAUGAACCUCAGAGGAGGAGACUGUUGAAAACCAUUCUGGUAGGCCAGCUGUUGGCAAGAGGCAUGUCUCUGUGUCCCGCCGGACUUGGGAAGUGGGAGCCCUGCUGCUGGACGCGUUUCCUUGUGGACUUCAUGGGAACAUGGGACUGGGGAGCACAGGGUGACCUGUCAAUGAGCUUGACUUCACCUAGAGUGGCCUCUCCUCUUAGAGAAAGGAGAGGAAGAGCCUCUUGCUUGGGCUCUGCUCACCUUGUAGGAUUCAUCUUCCCACUUGUAUGCAGCUGUCUCCAUUAUGAACAUGAUUUGUGGGCAGUUUGGUUUUGAGACUUGCCGCCCUGCCUUAAACCCCAGUUCCUGGCUCUUACCUCAUGCGACCCCAGUUUGCAUGAUCUCAACUCAGAUCCCGGACAAGGCAUGAUAAUUAUUUUACAUGAUCUGUCUUGCUUAUAUGCAAAGGGAGUAGCCAUCUUGUGGAUUAUUCACAGGCAUUUUUUGGUUUUAUUGCUGCUUUUUUAAAAUCCCGGAAUGACCUCCUUGGGCCUCUAGCAUGAUUAGGGGCUGCUCAGCACUCCCCUAUAAAACUCUCUACCUGUCCAGCUGAGAUAUAAUAUUCUUUCCAUUUGUGUUGUGCUUUAUGGUUUAUAGACAUUCUUCACACAUUUGCUCCUCUGAUCCUCAUAAAGAAACUGCGUUGGAGGUAGACGUAACUUAUUACUUGUUUCCAGUCAGAAGCCUAGUCUCAGAGGUCACCCAGCCAGCUUGUGGAAGACCUGGGUUUGAACCCAGGUGGUCUGUCUCUCGUUCUCAAGUGUACAAGUUCAGAGUAAGCAAGAGGAUGUUAGUUCUUGGCCUGAACAGAAUCUACUUAGUUGAUCUGCUGUGGCUGAAACAUUUGUCUGCAUAUCUGACCACAUCUAAACCAGCCUUUGAUUGUUCACGUUUGGUAUCAUCUGUGGCCCAGCUCCCUUUGGUUGGCAAUGUGCAGAGCACAUUUCCAGUGUUGAGACUGUUUUGCUCUAUGCAAUUCCAUUCUGAUUGGAUCGGUUUGCGCAGGUCCCAGCCUCACCGAUGUCACAGCAAGCGUGGUAUGCUGUAGCUCAGAGAGCUGGCCCGGCACUGGUUCUGUGCAGGCCUGUGUGUGUGUGGUUCGUCGCAUGGGUAUUAGCUCUGUUACCCUGGGCAUACCGCUUAAUAUUUGCAGCCCUCCGCCUUGCCAUUGCACAAUUAGGGUAGAAACAGGUAGUUGCCAGGCCAUUGUUCACCCCUGCCAACCUCAGUUCUCUCAUCUGUAAACUGGGGAUCAUGAUUGCCACUGCAGAGUAUUGCAAAGAUUAAAUAAAUUAGAGCUCAGCACCAGGCCUGGCAAUAUAGCUGGAGCUUCGCAAAUGUUCCAUCUCCUUGCCCUUUCUCUUCCACUUUAUCUUUUGAAAGUGUUUGGAGAGCCUCCUAAAAAGUGACACGGAGGGGCACCUGGGAGGCUCAGUCGGUGAAGCAUCUGACUUCGGCUCAGGUCAUGAUUGCACAGUCCGUGAGUUCGAGCUCCGUGUCGGGCUCUGUGCUGACAGCUCGGAGCCUGAAGCCUGCUUCAGAUUCUGUGUCUCCCUCUCUCUGUAUUCCUCCCCCGCUUCCACUCGGUGUGUGUAUGUGUGUGUCUCUCUCUCUUUCUCUCUCUCUCUCCUCUCAAAAAUAAACGUUAACAAAAAUUUAAGGGACAUGCAGGUUAAAAAAAUCAAGUCAAGGUUGUCACAAUGUGAACGCCUUGCACACUCAGUACAGCGAGUGCGUGGAGUUUGAGUGUGGGGAGCAGACUUACCUGUUUGACCCGGAGACAUCGCUUUGCAAAUGACUCUUUUCUGAACACCGGCCUUUUCUGACCAAUUUGAGGCGCCAUUGAGGGUGACUCACUCUAGCCCUUCAUUGAUGAUGCUCAUUUAUAGGCAGUACUUUUAUUUCCAAAUGGACUUCCUGUCUCACUGCCUUAGGGGUUGGUGGGCUGCCUGCCAACCGAGGUGUGGACUGCAGAAAGCGAGUGCGAGGGAAGCCAGCAGUCCGCGGGGCUGUGCUGAAGCGGGUGCGGCGAAGAGUGGCGCAACUUUCAGGAGGAACAAAAUACAGGGAAGUGUGAGAGACAUCAUCUGAUCAUUUAACUUUAGGUGAGUGCUGUUCCGAUAUGCUGUUUUCUUACCCCACGGUGUUAGUUUUACUGUCUGUAAUCUUCUGUUUAAUUAACAAAGACUUUAUUCUUACUUUGGAUUCAUACUGGCAUUCCACACCUGUGACAGCUACUUGCUUGGAGUGACUCCCAGUUUGUUUCGGGUACACUGGUCCAGAACUGCAGACUAGUUAAUGCCGUGACACGUAUGCCCAGGAUAGUGCUUUUGGGUAGACAAGGGAUGUAGCAGGAAUCUGGAAUGUACAGAUUGAGUUGCUGGCUAAGGAUACAUGCACAUGGGCACAGUUUAGGCAGUAUCAUUCGAUUGUGUGGCUGUCCGGGACCAACCAAGUUCAUAUCUUUAUGUUUAUGAAAUAAAGGUAAAAACAGACCAGUUCAACCUACACCAAAGUCAAAAAGAGCAAGGCAUAUUUCACUGUAGAAUUUGAGUUAGACAUUGAUGUACAGACGUCACAUUGUACUAGAGUGAAUACCAUUGCUUUCCGAAUAUAAAUAAAGUAUUGUUAUUUCAAAGAAGGAGCUUCAAUGAUCACUUAAUCAAGUCCCUGAGGCCCUGAGAGAAGAAGGGACUUCCUCAAGAUCUGUCGUUGAAUUAAGGUGCCACACUAUACAGUGGCAAAACUGGAUUGGCCAAGGUGUCCCCAGUCAUUACCACCUGUGAAUUCUUGCCAAGGAAAAGAAGCUGUUUCUUUUUCCACAAGGACUGAAAAGGUCCUGGUACCUACUCAGAGUCACGGAGGUCUAGCAGCAGAGGCCAGUGUCCUUAAGUCAUGUGAACUUGACCCAUGCCAUUUGAAGGGUAAUGCAUUUUGGCAAGUGGUGUUAGCAUCCCAGAACAUUUGAAGACAGAAUAACAACCUUUAUAGCCCCCAGAAGCAUAGAAAGAGAAGUUUGUCCACUUUGCUGGGCCUGUCUCUUCAUAUGCAAACUUAGGGGAUGGGGCCAGUUGUUCACGCUUUUCUGUCCUGGCCCAGCUCAGUGACCUACAAUACCCUGUUUAACCUCUCUGGAGUAGUUUUCUCAUGCACAGAGUUAGGACACUGGACUGACUUUUUCCUCUGCCUACAUUCUGGAACUCUUGUUUAAUUCGUGCACUCAUGUGAGCGCACACACACACGCACACACAACCAAAAAAGAAGGUAAAAGUGUCUGGGAAGCUGAGUGUUUGUAAGCUCAUGCUUCCCCUUGUUAAUUCUCGAUCUUUGGCUUCAGGGUUCCUUGUAAGUAACUGAUACCCAGUUUAGAGGUAAAAAAUCAAAACUGCAAAAAUGGCUGUGAGCUAGAACAUUUGUUUUUGUUGUGAUUUUUCAGUAUCAGUGUGAGAAAAUUAAUCUCACAAACCAUGAGAAAGGGAAGAAACAUUUGCCGGAACUGGAGGAGGCCCAGUAAGUCCAUUCUCCCCUGCGUACGUUUGGGGCUACGUCAUAAAAUGAGGCUAAUGGAAGCCAGGUUGGCCCACCUUCGUUCCUGGUGCAGCCCAUGCUGGUCGGCCUGGCUUCUGUCUGUGGGCCGGUGGGUGGGUGUCCUGGUGCUGAGCUGCAGGAAUGGAAGACUCACUGGCUGGGCAGAAAGGGACCGGCUCACCCCCAAGAGGGAGGUGCAAGGGAGUGACUGAGCCCUGUGGUGCUCAGCGUCUCCUCUCUCCUUGCCGGUUACUUUGUCUCCCGCGGGGUCAAGUGAGUGUGGGAGCGGGAGAAAGGCAGGGCGUUACGCCAGAGGGUACUCUUGCAAGGAAGGAGACGUCUGCCCGGAGUGGGAAUGAAGGUGGCCCUCAUACUUCUUCUAGGGAUCCACCUCGGUCACCUGGUUUCCAUCCUGUUUGCAGAUCUGUAUUUUCCUAAGCGUGGUAAUUUUAAGCCCCUAGGGAGCAAGGUGUUCAUGAGGCUGCCUGAGCUAGAGUAAUGUCUACCUUUUCUUUCUUUUUUUUUUUUUUUUAAACAUUCAUUUAUUUUUGAGAGACAGAGAGACAGAGCACAAGGGGGGCGGGGGCGGGGGCAGAGAGAAGGAGACACAGAAUCCGCAGCAGGCUCCAGGCUCCGAGCUGUCAGCCCAGAGCCCGAUGCAGGGCCUGAAACCCACAAACCGCGAGAUCAUGACCUGAGCUGAAGUCGGACGCCCAACCGACUGAGCCACCCAGGCGCCCCAAGUAACGCCUACCUUUUAUUGGGCACUUUCUUUGUACUCGCCACUGUGCUGAGCGCUUUGGACUUGUUUUCAUCUAAUCAUCACUCCACAACAAGUGAAUAGGUGCCACUGUUAACUCCACUUUGUAGAUGAGGAAACUAAGGCUUAGCAAGGCUAAGCCGAUGCCUGAGGUUUAUAUAACUGGUGCAGAUUAAGAAAGUCAUGGGGCUCCUGGGUGGCCCAGCCAGUUAAGUGUCCGACUCUUGAUCUCACCUCAGGUCAUGAUCUUGCAGUUCAUGGGAUUGAGCCCUCCAUUGGGCUCUGUGCUGGUGACACGGAACCUGCUUGGGAGUCUCUGUGUCUCUCUCUGCCCCUUGCUCACUCUCUUGCAUGCUCUCUCUCUCUCAAAAAUAAGUAAACAUUAAAAGAAAAUCACUGGAAAAAAACCCUUUGGAUACUACUCCUGAAAUCAUUAUUGCACAAUACACUAACUUGGAUGUAAAUUAAAAAAUAAAUAAAAAUUAAAAAAAAAAAAAAGAGAGAGAGAGACAGACAUGUCAUUUUCUUCCAUUCUAACUCUGUAUGACAUGCUUGUGUUGUGUUCUCUAAUUCUGAUACCGAGUAGCCCCAGGAAGGUGGCUGGAAUGGCGUAGGGCUUAGGGAAAAACUUGAGCACCGUGGCUAAGAAGAAACAGUCGGAAGAGAAGAGUCAGAAGAGCAGGUCUGAGGUGAUCAGUAGUGUCAUCCUGGUAGGUGAGGAACCCGUGCUCUCUGGGUAGGCCAUGACGUACAGAUAGAUACAGGCACAGACUUACACUUGAUACUCACCGCCACUUACUGGUGGCAUUGCCAGGUGCCAGCACCCGUGCCGGGUGUUUUAUAGGUACUGGUCUCUUGGAAACGUGAAUGCAGCGGUAUCUUUUAAAGGGACUGGCGAGUGUUUUACAGUGUCCCUUUUGUCUGCCCUUAAACCUCUAUCCAUGUAUACACGGGACCUCCUAGACCGAAACACCGCCUCACGAUCCACCUAAGACGACUUGUAUCCUUAGGGCUGGAAAGGACCCACACAGAGGAUGUUCAGGUUCGAAGUCAGGGCCUCUGGGAGCUGGUGCAGCUUGUAGUGUUGCUUUUUUUUAGCAUUUAUUUUUGAGAGAGCAUGAGCAGAAGGGGGCAGAGAAAGGAUGACACAGACUCCGAAGCAGUCUCCAGGCUCUGAGCUAUUCGCACAGACCCCAACGCGGAGCUCAAACUCACGAACUGUGAGGUCAUGACUUCGUGGAGAAGUCUUACACUUAAGUGACUGAGCCACCGAGGUGCCCCUGCAGUAUUGCUUUUUAAACCAGAAGUCCAAAUAUUUUCUUUUUCUUCCUCCUUUUAAUGAUGUCAUCUUCUGUUUAAGUCUGUUAGAUGCGGUUUCCUUUUGGUCUCAGUCGUAUCCACACUCCCUUUCAAAGGCACCGUCCGUGUCCCGGGCCAGGGGCUCGGCUUCAGGGAUCUGCAGUGAUGGUGGCCAACUCCCUUAGACGUCACUUCCAUCUUUACAGUGGACGGUAUUCGUUUUGAGUGACGUAAGGGGAAUAAUAAGCGAGGAUGGACUUGCGCAUAGACAUUCCAGGCUCGGUUCAGAUCACUUCCAUUAGAGGAUGUAUAAAUAAUAGCAAAUCCUUUGGGGCCAUGUUUAAAUUACUACUGUUUUAAAAACUUCCCAUUGUUAGCUGGAGUUGUUUGUUUUAUACUUUGAAAAUAGAAUUUUAAUCUAAUUUGACUUACGAUAGCCUGGCCUCAUAGCGUUGCUUUCUGGAAUUGUAAGUAACCUUUAACAGAUAUUGCUUAUUUUGCCCUUUUAAAAUAAUGGUUUAACAAAUGAAAAGAAAUGCACAUGCAUUGAAAAAAGACUUGGAAGAGAGAGAACACAGGGUCCAUAGAGAUUGGCUCUAGGAUAGAACUGGCCAUUGCUAUCUUAGCAAUGUUAGGUUGUCUGCACGUUCCAAAGUUUCCAUCUAAAUGGAUAUUUUUCCUUAAUUUUACAAAAUGUGACCAUUGGGAAAACAGAAGCAAGAGAAUUUGAAAAAUCACCCCCGACCCCAGCACUCCGUUCACCACCGCUGGCAUUUUGGUGUCCCGCACUCGUCUCUGAGUAGCAAAUGUGUUUCAUUCCCCAGAUCUGCAGUUUUCCCCCUUUGCACAGGUUCCCCACAGCCUGCCCAAGGCUGUAUCUUCACAGAAGGACUCUCCUCCCCGACAGUAGCAGCCCCUGCUGAGUCUAACAGAUAAGCCACCUUCACAAUGAACCCAAACAGGAACCUUAGGGAGGAAACGCUUGUCCCCCUACAGUUAGUCUGUAGCCCCAAAUGAGAACAGUGUGUUCUGUAGUAAAAUGUAAUCUACGCACUGUGUUGACAUUGCGUGAAAUUUGUUUAUUUAUAGUAAAGCUCAUAUGUAUCUGGGAUAGUUUCUGCAUUGAGCCCAUUAAGAAAAUUUUGAGUGUGGGCAGAAUUUAAACAGAUUAUUUCCUUAUUUCCUCUAACGGGCAUGCAGCUGCUCUGUUUAACCUACCCGUUCAUAGAAAGUUUUCAGAGACAUGUUUUUUUUAAACCAAGGAAUAUGUGAUUUGGCGAUGAAAUCUAUAAAUAAAGUGACCCAUUUUUAACUAGAUUGCUGGUGUGCUUUUCAGCAGGACUUUGUGGUUUAGCUAAUGAAAUCUUUUCACACAUGAUCCUCUGAACCUUGUGUCUAGUUCUAUCACUGCCGCGUUUAUGACUUAAUUGCCUUUGUGGUUUAAUUCACUUCAUGACACAUUCAUCACCAUGAAGUUGUACACUCUUCACCCCCCUCUGUCCUAGUAUUUGCUUGAUGACUCUUGGGGUCAAGGAGAGGUCAAGAGGUGGUUUUGUGCUAUUAAAAAUAAGUGGUUGUUUGCAUAGGCUAAUCCGUCUUGUUUAAUUAAAACGGUCUUUGAAAUUUUAAUUAGUGCAUUGAAUCUGCUUCCUCUUGAUAAUUUUCUGUUCCAUAAUACUAUCGGUUGAGGCUAUAAUAAGUUAUUUCUUUUACUUGUAGAGAAUUAGAGUUUAUAAAGUCCUUUCGUAUUUAUUCUUCCACGUAAUCAUUCCAACAUUCUCCUCCCCCCAAACCCCGUUAUGACAGAUAUUAUUAUCCUCAGAUUUUUUGCAGGUGGGGAAACUGAGGUAGAGAAAUUAUAGGGAGAGUAUGCUGGGUCCUUACGGCUAUUAGAUGGCAGGCCUGGGAUGCUCCCACUAUAGAAAGCGGACAGUUGGGAUAUUACAAUUUAGGAAAAAGCUCCUGUUUCAUUGUUGUCCGGGAGCCUUGGGGUGGCCCUCGUGUUAACACCUUGCAAGUAUGUCGGGAGGCUCCUGUGGAGUACUGGAGUGUGAGAUUUUCAGCUACACCAAGGAAGUUGACUUGGUCACGUCUUCCAUCCUUGUGGUUCUGGCCAUGAGUUCAUGUGGCGGCACAGCUUCACAUCGACGGGUGUUAAAGUCGGCUUUUGGAGGAACCAGAAUCUGUUCUUUUUUUAAAAAAAAUUUUUUUUCCUUGCAUUUAUUUAUUUUUGAGAGACAGAGACAGCAUGAGCAGGGGAGGGGCAGAGAGAGAGGGAGACACAGAAUCCGAAGCAGGCCCCAGGCUCUGAGUUGUCAGCACAGAGCCCGACACGGGGCUCGAACCCAUGAACCCCUUGAGAUCAUGACCUGACCUGAAGUGGGACGCUUAACUCACCGAGCCACCCAGGCACCCUGCAGAAUCUGUUCUUACUUGCUUCCUCUAGAGGCAGUGUCUGUUGGUGUAGAGUUUUUCCACUUUCCCCCCUUUGUGACUGUGGUGUCCACACUUUCCAGAUGCAUCCAAGUGUAGGUCUUCCUGACCAUGCCACUCGACUACACAGAGCAUGGAGAGAGUCAUACCCCGGGCACAGCCCUUGUGGCUCCUGGCUGAGCUCCUGUUCCUCUCCACCCCUCCACGGGAGAGACGUUACGUACACAUAGGUGUAGUGCUCAGCGAUUUAAAUGUUUCCCUUCCAAUUCUCAUUUCAUCUUCUGCCGGCCUUGUGAGGUAGGAGGAACAGAGGUGAGCACCUGCAUCGUCCAGCUCCCGUGCUCUACUCUGCCAACGAGGAGACCACAAGACUCGGAAACAAAAACGCGAGGCCAAAGUCACAAAGCGAUGAUGCUGGACCUGAAGCCAGGUAUUUCUGGCUUCAAAAUGCCUGCUCCCUCUACUGUAGUAAGCUGCCUUUCCAAAAGUACAAAAUAGAUUUUUUUAAAGCUUUAGGAUUAAAAUGACACCUGAGAGACAUCACGUUUGCGCAGUAAGCCGCUUCCUCCCUCAAAAGUUGUCUCCGGUUUCUGACAUAGAAUUGAUUUAAGAAAUGUUCACAAUUUAAAUUUAUAACUCAGUUUGCUCCUGGCAUAUGUAUUCUCGAAUUUAGAAUGCUAUCACAAACCCUUUAGUUAUUACAGAAAUAUUAUAAACACCUACAACUAUCCAUCCUAAUGAGGAGAUUUGCCAGUCACAGCUUCAAAAUUCUAUUCCACGCUUAAAAGAUAUUCCAUAAGCUAAGAAGUUCACAAUUACCUACUUUCAAAAUAAGAUAAUAGUGUUUCCCUUGGUUGGAUUAUAAAAACAGAUUCUUGACUCCAAAUCCAGCUGACCAACCCCAUGUUAUGAUCAAAAUGAGAAGUCUGAAUAUAGGCAGACUCGAGGGAUGCAGUGAACUACCCAGUAAAUAAAAUGUAAAUCACAGAGAAUAAAAUCAAGUAGUACCUUUAUAACUCUCAGUGUCUGCAUGCAAAUAUAACCCCCUUCAGAGUGAGGUACACAUGGUCUUUUAAAAAUUAUUGUGGAUCAGAAGCAAAAAAUUAGCGAGGGCAGGAUCUUUUGAUAAAACAAUCAGAUUUAGUCAAAUUUAAUUAACAUCAUCAGGGAAGAAAGGGAGGAAGAAAAUCCCAAAUACGGAUAAUUCAGAGGUCAUUUUUUGGGGUCUUGUCAGCAAUAGAUUUAGUUUUUUCACCAUCUGUGCUGUGUUUUUGACAGACAUAAAAAAUAAUUUCACCUCCCUCGAUACGUGUCAGCUGACGGGGAGCGAGUACGCAGAAAGGGGAGCAACCACAGGUAGUCAAAGGAAAGGACCGGUUGGAGCUUUAAAUUUUAACCCACACCGUGCAGCUUACAUGCAGGUAAUCACAGUUUUAGUAGUCGAUCAACAAGCACGUACUGAAGCACCUCCCAUGCAUCAAGGGGUUAAAAGCACUGGACACCAGAGCUCCAGACCAAGGGAGCGUGGAGUCAGGGCCCCUGAACGAGGGCGGCUGGGCACAGUGAACGACAUGUUUCUAGUUUUGUUUCUCUCUGGGGUCGCUGCCCUGAAAGGCUUACGUGUUUAAUUGGAGGAGAAAAAGCACCGUGGAGAGAAAACAUCGAGAUGGAGAAUAGAAAUGUUAAGUGGCAUGGUUGACGCGUCAGGAGCACUAACACAUUUGUGUGGCUCGUUGGGAUUUACUUCACGAGCGGACCCUAAGUAUAUGUAGGAGAUAGCUUCCCAGCCCCCUCCCUUUCAUCUUUACAUCUGCUCAUUUAAUUUCCAGCAAAGAGCUGGGUCUGUUCCGCGCCUGUGCCCUAAGGUUAUUGGCCUCCAUCCCCACACGUCUCGUGUAAAAAGUUUAAGAGGCGAUGAAGGACCGGCUCUGGCUCAGACCUUUGACCAGUUGAUCCCGUGAACCCUCAAGGGGGCUUUGUACGAAUGACGAUGGCUACGGGUUUUCUCUUUGUUUCAGAAUUGAUUUUGUUGCUUAAAAAAAGGACAUUUAUCAAAGGCUGAAGGGAUUGUCAAUGUGGGGAGAGGGGCAUUAAAAAGGAAGCCAUUAUCCAAAUGACGGGAGGAGGGGGAGUCGCUUAGGAUGUACGUUUACACUGACGAGUAUAAACAGAAGGUAAUUGAAUGCCUGGCUAAAUAAUCCUACCUGCAUAAGAGCUAAAGCACAGGAAGUGCCUGCUCUUUGCUAGAUUCCCUGCAGGACUAAGGCCUUCUUGGUUUGUUUUUAUUAAAUUUUUUUUUAAGUUUUUUUAUUUAUUUUGAAAGAGAGAGAGAGAGAGAGCAUGAGUGGAGUAGGAGGAGUGAGAGGGAGAGAGAAUUCCAAGCGGACUCUGCACCACCAGCCCACCAACCGCAAGAUCGUGACCUGAGCUGAGAUCAAGAGUCGGACAGUGAGCCACUGAGGCCUUCUAGACCUAACUCCUGACUCCUCCCAAGAGCCCCACAGGUUGGAAUUAUCAUUGCUGCCCUUCGAGGGAGAAACCUAAGGCUUAAGAAAGUUAACUCCUGUUGAAGCUUUCAUAGUCAACCAGUCCAUGGCUGAGUGGACUCUAGAACCAGGCGUUUCUGACCUCAGAGUCCCAGUUGAUUGUGACAAGUCAUAGCUUCCUCUGAUGAUGUUAGGACUGUAAGCAAAGGACCUUGUGGGAAUGAUGUCUGGAGAGAAGUGCCGAGUAUGAUGGAGGAGACCUGCGUGAAUCCAGGGGACCCAGAUAGCUAAUAAAGUGCGUUGUGGUAGUGGCAGAGGGGCUGCUGGAUGUGAGGUUCUUGGUAGGAUCCCUCCUAGGGUGUCCCGGGGGGGGCAGUGAAAUGCUGACAGACAAGUCCAUUUGAACAGUGGAGUUUUGAGGUUGCUUAAGCCGCAGAUCACUUGCUAAUUGUGCCUCGAGGCUAGUGUAACCUAUCUGGUCUUUGGUGUCUUCACUAAUGAAAUGGGGGUGAUUGAUUAUAUGAAUGAAUGAAAUAAUCCAUCAUUACGAGGUGCCCACAACGUAGCAGGAAUUUUUUAAGCACCAUGUGUAGGACAGUGAAAAAUAGAUCAGGGGUGGGGGUGGGGGCGCCUGGGUGACUCAGUCAGUCAAGCAUCCAACUCUCGAUUUCGGCUCAGAUCAUCAUCUCACAGUUUGUGGGUUCGAGCCCUGUGUCGGGUGGGCUCUGGACCGACGAUGUGAAGCCUGCUUGGGAUUCUCUCUCUGCCCCUCCCCUGCUCGUUCUGUCUCUCUUUCUCUCUCAAAUAAACUUUAAACACACACACGCACAGAUCAAGGAGUGCACUCAUUGAGCUUAUUUUCCAAGGGGGACAGAUAGUCAAGAAAUCAGCAAAUACAGUUUGUCAGGUGGUGGCGAAGUGCCAGGAAGAAGGAAAGAAGAGAGAGGUACAAGAGCACGAGGGUAGGUAGGCUUCAAGAGCAAACGUGGAGUUAGCCGCAUAGAUGUGAAGGCAGGGCAAUGCAAAGGUAGUGACAAGCAUACCUGGCAUGUUCCAGAAGCAGUGAGGUCUUGUGGCCAAGGAAGAAGUGGAAAGAGAGGUUGGAAGGGGGGUCCUAUGGCCAUUGUAAGCACUUUGGCUUUUAUUCUGACUGAAUAGGGAGCCUCUGGAGCAUCUUGAGUAGAACAACAAAAUCUGAAUUGACUUCCCUUUAAAAAGAGCCCCUCUGUGGGACACCUGGGUGGCCCAGUCAGUUAGGCAUCUGACCCUUGAUCUCAGCUUAGGUCAUGAUCUCACACUUUGUGGGAUCGAGCCCCGCAUCAGCUCUGGAGUCUGCUAGGGAUUCUCUCUCUCCCUCUCUCUCUGCCCCUCCCCGACUGGUGCUGUCUCUCAAAAUAAACAAAUAGGGGCAGCUGGGUGGCUCAGUCGAUUGAACCGCUGAGUGUCGACUUUGGCUUAGGUCAUGAUCUCGUGGUUCGUGAGUUGGAGCCCCACAUCGGGCUCGCUCCUGUCAGCCUGUCAAUGUAGAGUCCGCUUCAGAUCCUGUCCACCAUCACUGCCCCUCCCCCACGUGCACUCUCAAAAACUUAAAAAAAGAAAAAAAAAAAAAAGAAUCCCUCUGCUCCUGGCUGGCUCAGUUGGUGGAGCAUGAGAUCUUGAUCUCAGGGUUGUGAGUUCGAGCCCCACUUUCAGUGUAGAGAUUACUUAAAAAAUAACAUCUUUUAAAAAAAUUAUUAAAAUGGUCCCUCUGGCUACUGUGGAAGAUAGACUGUGAGGGUACUGAAAACAUGCAAACAUUUGACAAGUGGAGAUCAAGCUAAGAUUGUCAGUUACAGCCCUGGGGUGAGCAGGUGUCUAGAAGACCAUUGGUUAUAAAAGUGUAAAUUGCUUGUCACGCUUCAGGAAGGGCUGAGUAGUGAAAGUUGCUUUUGCCCCGCCCCUUCAUUACAUGAGACUGUUGGGCAUGAUCACGUUCACGGAUUAAAAUGGUUUUUAUUCAUCUAAUGUAUUAGCACUAUACUUAGUAUUGAUAUUAGUCUGAGAGCAGAGGUGAUAUUUCUUUUUAGGGUGAAUGGACCAGAUUUGAUACUUGUUUCUACUUGGAACUGGAACAGAAAAAUAAUAAUGCAAGAUGUUCUUUUCUUUUUAAAAAAAUUUUUUUGUAAUGUUUAUUUAUUUUAGAGACAGAGCACAAGCAGGGGAGGGGCAGAGAGAGCCGGAGACAGAAUCUGAAGCAGGCUGCAGGCUCUGAGCCGUCAGCACAGAGCCAGACACAGGGCUCGAACCCAUGAACCAUGAGAUCAUGACCUGAGCCAAGGUCGGACACCCAAUCAACUGAGCCACCCAGGCGCCCCUGGGUGUUCUUUUCUAAACACCAUAAAGGAUUAAAGUAUAUUUGGUUUUAUCAUAAAGUAUAUACAUUCAGUGCAUGAGAAUCAGUUUCUUCUUUUUUUUUUAAUUUUUUAAAGUUUAUUUUUUGAGAGAGAGAGAGAGAGCAGGGGAGGGGCAGAGAGAGAGGGAGAGAGAAUCCCAAGAAGGCUCCACAUUGUCAGCACAGAGCCCAAUGUGGGGCUCAAACUCACGAACCACGACAUCAUGACCUGAGCUGAAACCAAGAGUUGGACACUUAACUGACUGAGUCACCCAGGUGCCCCUAAGAAUCAUUUUCUUAGCAAAAAAGGGAGACUUUUUCCUAAAUCAGUGGUUCUCAGGGGGUAAAGGUCAUUUUGUUUCAGCCCCCUACCCAGGGACAUUCAGCAAUGUCUGAAGACGGGUUUUUUUUUUGCCCUUGUCCAUAAACUUUGUUUUUAAUUAAUAGGUUUGCUUUUGAUUUUUUUUUUCAAUGUUCAUUUAUGUUUGAGAGAGAGAGAAAGCAUGCACAAGUGGGGGAAGGGCAGAAAGAGAAGGGGCGGAUCAGAAGCAGGCUUCAGGCUCUUGAGCUGUCAGUGCAGAGCCAGACGCGGGGCCCAAACUCACGAACUGUGAGAUCAUAACCUGAGCCAAAGUCGGACACUUUACCAGCUGAGCCAUCCAGGCGUGCUUAGAUUGGUUUUUUUAAAGAACAGCUUUAGGUUUACAGAAAAAUUGAGCUGAAGGUAUGAAGAGUUUUCGUAUAGUCCCUCACCGCCCCUGUUCCCCAGCCCCCCAAUUACUAACACUUUCCAUUAGAUUCCAUUAGAGUUCACGCUUUGUAUCGUGCCUUCUAUGGGUUUCAACAAAUGUGUGCUAUGUAUCCAGCGUUACUGUAGGUACACGGUGUGUGCUGUGGUUUUGCUGCCCUGAAAAUCCCCUAUGCUCUACCUUUGUAUCCUUCCCCCUCCUUCUAGACCCGUGGGAACCACUGAUCUAUUAUUCGCUGUCUCCACAGUUUUGCCCGUCUCAGAACGUCCGUGCGUCAGAUUGCACAGUAUGUAUGUAGCCUUUUCAGAGCGGCUUCUUUCACUUAGCAUAAUGUGCAUUCACGGUUCCUCCAUGUCUUUUCCUAGCUUUACUGGCUCAUUUCUUUUUAGCCCUGAAUAGCAUUUCAUUGUCCGGAUGCAUAAAGAUGUGUACCACAGUGUGUUUAUCCGUUCUCUGGAGGAAGGACGUGUUGGUCGCUCCUCUGGAGAGGUUUUGGAUUGUUAACCUGAGAAGAAGCCAGGAUGCUGCUAGAUCCCCCCACAGGACACCCGCACAACACAGAAUUACCCAAGUCAGUAUCGCAGGGGUGGAGAAAGCUCUGUUCAAAAUACACGCUAAAUAGGAUGAGACAGAGUAUUUUAAUCACACACUUUCAGUUUUGCUGUGCUUGAGGGUAGUUUGAGAACCUCAACCUUAUAGCAACCCCAGACACGAAAGUUCCAUCUUGUAGAUGAAGAAACAAACAGGCUAAGAAAUGUUAGUAACAAGCCUCCUGUCAUUCUGCUAGUAAGUGGCCAAAGCCAGGGUUUCGGACCCGCAGCUUCUGUCCCUGAGCCCGAGUAGGACACUGUCACCCUCCCCCCUCCCCUUCCAGGUGUUAUUUCAGUCUUUCCUCCUGUAUUAUUUAGGGAUUCUUUUGGGUGUGUUUUUAACCAAAACAAUCGUCCUUUUUUCCCUUGGUGACUUGAAUGUCUUGUAAUCUUUUCAGUUCAGCGGACGUUCUUGGAGUACAUGCUAGGUCACCCUGUGCUGCAGGAGCAGCAGAGCUGAGGAAACCACGGUCCUCAGGGGCCUUUCAGUCUGGUUGUCUUCUGGUUCCUUCUGUCUUCAUCCUCCUCUCCCCUUCGAUGCGGCUGCCCCAGAAGGUAGAGAUACGGUGACACAUGUCCUCUGAUGACCCAGCCCUUCCUAGUCCCAGAACCGAAAACCUGUUUGCUCUACAGAGCCAUUUACUUAAUGAAGUCAUGAAACUUUAGGCACCCACACCCCCUGCACCCCAGCUGGUGUCUGUCUCAGGUCUUGGCUGCCAUCUCUGGCCUUCCUCCUGUGGCCGUGAAUCCGCUUCCCUGGCACGCGGCAGCUGAUCUGGAUAAAGAAGUUGGUUGUUCUUUUCAGUGCCCAUUAGAGGCCUGCCCUCUCGAUCUGUUCUUCCUGUUUGCUGUGAAAAACAGCUGCCAGCGUUGGUUUAAAAGCCAGCAUUUUUAUUUGUUUGGGAUUUUUGCCUAUUCAUUUUUAGCAUUUCUCUCAUCUCUUGCAGCCGUGGAGAUAGCUGUUCGUUGUGGCACAUACUCUGUGUCUGGGGAAAAUGAACACCACCCCCCACCCCCACUCCCGCCCCCAACACACUACACAAACACACAUCCCAUAAAAUAUUUGCUUGUUUGUUUUUUAGCAACCCAGGCUGGUUUCCGUUCCGUUUAUUUAAUCCUCAGAGAAUUUUCUUAAGUAUAAGGCUGGUGUGAUGCCUUUUUUUUUAUUGGGUAAGGUCAAAAAAAGGUGUAUGUGGUUUUUCAGAUCUUUGUGCAAAUGAGCGAGCACCAGUCUGUGCAUGCGUGGACACAUUCUCUAUAAUGUUAGCAGCCACAGCCAGAUCAUUUGUCUACAUGCCUUUUCUCUCCUUUUGGAACAUCAACUCCUGGAGCACAGAGAUCGCAAGUAAUUAUUUGAGUACCUGCCCCUACCUGGGAGCAGGCUCUGGGCUCUGGGUGUUGGGAACCCUCUGCCUUCAUGGAGGUUGCAGUCCGUCAUUAUGUGCCUGACCCAGUCAUUCUGUUUCUGCGAAUUUUUUCCUAAUUUGUUUUCAUCAUGGAUGUGUGAUGUAGGUUUAAUUGAAUAAAGACAGAAACUGAAGAAGAAAAAAACAUGGUGCAAAUGCACCCGCCCUGGACAGGCUCCCGUAAAUAGCAAUGACCAUUCAGUAUAGCAGGUGCUUGCCCUUCGUUCAGCAACUAUUGAGUGCCAGCUGUAUGCUGGGCACCGUUCUCGGAACUCAGGCCACAGCUGUGAAUACAGUAGACCAAAGUGAAAGUCCUUGCCUUCUUAGAGUGUCAUUCUAGAACACAGUUUCUAUUCAUCUCUGCUCAACUAUGGAAAUGUGUAUAAAAUGCUACGAGAUAAUAGGGUAGGAGCAGUGGUGUACGUGGAUUAAAGUCACACCAGAAUUGCUAUCGUUUUGCAGAGCACGCUCUUGUUUGUGGGUAUAAUAAAGGGAGCCACUGUGUUCAUUAUACAUACUGAAAGAGUGAGGUUUUUGUCUGAGAGUAAGCUUUGGUACAAGGUCAUUUCAUAGUUAGGAGGUGGAGGAAGGUAGCCUAAGUACUUAUGCAAGCCACUUAUCAUUAGGGUAGUCUGGAUAAAAUACAGGGCACUAUUUCUUGUCAUGUCCUGUGUUGAUGCUGGUUCCCCAUACACUCAUCUGAACUAAUGGGCUCUUUGGCAUCAUUUCCUCAAAUGCAUCAUAGGGAAUGAAUUUCUCUACUAAGAACCCCCAUGAUAGCUUUGUCAGACAGGGUUUUGAUUUAGCGAUCACAAGAUGUGCUUCCCAGGCACAGGAUGGCAAGGGGGGAGGGUCCCUGUCGGUCCUUAAGUGCAAGCAGCCCCCUCUUAGAGAUGAAUCAUCGCUCUCUUACCGAUGCUCUUCUGCUGAGACCUUGCCCGAACCGGAGGUAAAGGGCUGCACGGUGUCUCUUCCCUGUCUUGGCCAAGGGGGUCAACCGUGGGGUGGGCUUGUUAUUUUAUAUAUUCAGCUGUUUAAAAAGGGGAUAAAUAAAGCAGGAAAAGAUGUUCGUUAUAGAAAUCAUAGCAAGAUUUUCCUAUAGAACGGUCAAGCCCGAGUUGCCUCAGCUUCAUUAUCUGUUCUAGAAAUUGAGAACUUGCCAUACUAGCCUGAGAAAUGGUGUCCGACUGUGGUUCUCUACCUUGUCUUCACAUAAGAAUCAUGCUGGGAACUUAAAAAAUCCCAGGCCACUCCCCAGACCAAUAAAAGCAGAAACUUAGGGGAGGGCUGGGUGGUCCUGGGUGAAUCCUGUGUGUUGCUCACACCGAGAAUUUCUGCAAUAUGGUCGCACCAGCCACACAAGGCAUUUUACCUUUUCAAAAUUAGGAAAUAGGGGUAACGUAAAAAUUGUAUCCUUUCCUUAAAAGGAGAAACAUAUGACAGGAGGAGUUCAUGUAGAUGUCCUUACUUGGUUUGAUUUUAAACUCUCGCAUUUAAUUAAAGCUGAAAGUUACAUCUGAUGUUCACCUGCUUCAUGCCCUGAUCAGUAGGAAAUUCUGGGAACUCAUAACUCUUUUUGUAUUGACUUUGCAGUGUGUGUGUGUGUGUGUGUGUGUGUGUGUGUGUGAAUUUUUCUUAUUUGGCCACAAAACUAUGUGUUUUAGCUUGUUUAUUUUUCAUUCCUUGUUUUGGCUAAAAUUGUUUUUUAAGGAACUGACUGACUCCUCAUCUGAUUAACUUCCCUCCUGCGUAUGUGGCUCAUUUCACACUCCACCCUGUCCUUCGAUGGCUUUCUAUUCCAUCACAGAGGUUCGUAUGGAAAAAUAUCCACCUAGUCUAUUUAUGAUGUGUGUUUCUCUAAAACACGUUAUUUCUGAUCUUGAAAUGUAAUGUUUUUAAGUAUGUUUAAAAUUUUUAAGAUGUUUUUAUUUUUGAGAGAGAGAGCGUGUGCAUGCAUGGGGAGGGACAGAGCGAGAGGGAGACACAGACUCCGAAGCAGGUUCCGGUCCCUGAGCUGUCAGCACAGAGCCCGACUAGGGCCCAAACCCACGAACCGCAAGACCAUGACCUGAGGUGAAGUCGGACACUCAGUUGACAGAGCCUCCCAGGAGCCACUAAAUAUGUUUUUUAAUAGGAACUUGUUCUCUGAAAUGCUUUUGCUGCUGAUGCUGUGGUUCCUUCUGGUUUCGAACUUUUUAAAUUCUGCUCUGGAAAGGUCCUGCUACGUUUCCAUCUUCUUGAUUACCAUCUCUUUAAAUCCUCAGUCCCUCCCUCGUCUUUCCCCCCCGUUGUUGAAGUGCAACGGGUAGUCUGUCUUUGUCUUGUCACAAUUUAUGGGGAGUGACAGCAGUGUGCACUUCAAUAAUAUAGCAACCAAGCCCAUGUAUCAUUGUUUUCUGGCAAAUGUCCUGCCUGGAUACGCAUCCUUAAUGAGGAGUAUGGAUGGUGUUAUGACAGAUGAUGCUGGCCCACAGCAAAGCAGGCAGCAAACGUGACUUGUCAGUGAUGUCCGGUUACCAGCACUGCUGAGUCCGUUAGUGACCUACUUUUACGUCAUCAGUCCCCACGCAUACACGUGGCGCUAAGGCAACGUUCUCAUUGCCAGCACCUCCAAAUGUUGGGAAGACACCUAACCGGUUUUUCAGUGUCCCUGGGCCCCGUGGAGUGUGGAGUAGACUCAUCUGUGCACAGCACAGUGCACAGCUUGCCCUUGAACGGUUCACAACCUCUGUCAUUGCCGCCGCAUCCGUUCCUGUUCUCUCCCAGCUCUGGGCAGAUGCACAGGCGCACAGAUGUAGCCUGGUGGGCACCCAGCCUACCCCAACCCCUUUUCAGUCUCUCCUUUUAAUCUUUAUUUACCUUCCCCCACCUCCGACAGCUCUCUGGGUUAUGAAACCAUUCACUUCACCAAUAAAGAUUUUUAUUUAUUUGUUUCUAAAGUUCAUAGCCUGUACCAGGCACUCUGCCGGGUGCUGAGGCACAGCUGAGUAUAAGACACAUGUGGUUCCUACCUCCCUAACACCCACUGUCUGGUGGGGGAGACAGACAAGGAAGCAGGAACUUACAGUCACGUGUGGUAAGUGCUGUGAUGGGGAUGGGGAUGGGGCUGGGGGUCCUGCGAAUCCAGGGCAGAGGACCACCUAACCUACUGGUUCAAAGGAGGAUUUCCAGAGGGAGUGACACCUCAGGACCUGAAGACUAGAGGUGGGGGACAACCUACCACUUUCGAGAAGUCUGGCUUGUUACAGCUGGAGUAUGAUGGGGAGACAGGGUGGAACAAGGGCUGGAAAGACAGCAGGGCCUUACCCUGAGAUCAACGGAAAGCCUUUAGGGUUUGCAGCAAGGGAUUGGCAUGAUUUGCCUUUGAGAAGGACCUCUCCGACUGCAGGGUGGAGACUGGCCUGGACCAGGGCAAGCAUAAAUGAAGGGUGACCAGUUGUUAGACUGUGGAAGAUGACCCAGCGAGAGCUGUUAGUGGCCUGGCCCGGCCAGGGGAGAAGGCUGGAGAAGGGACCCAAGGAAUAUUUAACCCACCUCCGCUUUCUAGGGACACAAAUGAUGCUUGGCCCCUGAAAAUGAGGGCUUGUCCCACACCUGGAUCUCCAUCUGUUAGCUUCCUACUAAGCAAGGCAUCUUCAUGGAUACAGCCACUCUAACAGGUUCCCUGUCCCUUUCUGGGUUUCCAGAUUCUAGGGCCAAACACUGGAUUGGUUGUGCAAUGGCCAUAAUCAUCACCUGGCUCUUCUGUCAUCUCUGUAGAACCCUAGAGUGCAGAAAGUUAGAGCAGAGUGAUUCUUUAAGGUUCGUCCUGUCCAGUCCUCCACAUUUUAGCAGUGACUAGUUGAUGGCCCAAACGAGGGAAAUGACACUCAAACCCCCUCAGAGCAUUGGGAUUGGAACCGGAUGUUUCCGUUCCUGGGUAGGUGAUUCUUUGGGCUUAAACAACUGCUUCUUGGACUGGCUUGACUAUGUGAGUGUGUUACUCAGCGCGUUUUGCGUCUCCCACUCUUCUCAGUGGACUCCUCUGAAAAUGUGUGGCAGGUAAAUAAAUCAAGGUUGGUCUUGGGUGUGCCCUUCUUUUAAGGCCCUGGGCUUGCCCUGAAGGAACAGUGUGUUAUCUUUUAGCUCUGCCUUUUCUGUCCUGUUUACUGCUUGUUUUGUCACUGACUGCAGUGAACUCUGAUCCUAGAUUCCCCUUUCUUGAGCCAUUGGUGGGUGGCAGGGAUCACAAGGACUCUGGGGACUUCUUUUGGGCUUUAUUGUGGUGACAGGCAGUCCUGCUCCAUCUCUGUCCUUUACAGCCCGGCCGCCAGGAGCCUGGCCUUGGGAAUCAGACUGGGCUUGAAUCCUAGCUCUGCCACUUGCCCACUGGGCAAGGUUCUCAUCAGUGAAAUAGGGACAGCCAGACUGCAGGUUUUAAAAAGUAAUAAAUGGGAAGAAGUCCAGAACAGGGCCCUACACAUGGCUGAUGCUCAAUAAAUGGUGACUGUGUUUAUGCUAGAUUAUUGUUCUCUGUCCCCUCAUUGCAGUUGGCCAAACUGUAGAUUUAGUCACCACAUACCUGUUGACCACCAGUUGUCCUGUGUUGAUUCCCUGAUGAGAUUUCAGGAGGGUGGGCUCUUUGUUUCCACCCUUCUGAGUGAUAGAUUGUAAAUUCUUGUCUCUCUCACCCUCCCUGAACCUUGUCAGUUAAAGCUGCCAGACUCUGGGAACAGUGAGAAACCAGUGGGCAGUGAGGGUCUUCAGCCUGUGGGACAAGUGGCCAAAGCAGGGGAACAGAGGCUAGUGUUCCCUGCUUUGGAAGCUAGCUUAAAUUUUUCUUUUCUUUGAAACUUUUUGUGCAGUCGCUCUUGUGCUCUGAAGAAACACAGAAAUGGCUGCAAAGAAAGGGCAAGGUGGUCCAGAGCCAUCCUCCUCAGAUGCGGGAUUAAGAAAGUGGCGGGAGGCUAAUAUUUGAGGCCAGAACAGGGAAAUGUAAUGAGUGGUGAGCUUCCAGAUUCUGCUUAGUGGGAUAACCACAUGGUCUUAGUGAAAGAAAAGAGGAAAGCGACGGUGGAAAUAACAAUUUCAGUAAUGCCUGCUUACCGUUCUCCGUAAGAACUCUGCCCUGGAGUGAGCACGACAUGGCUGUUGAGGAAGGUUUUCACAGAGCUAAGCGAAAAUCUUCACAAACAAAGAACCUAUUUUAUUACAGAGAAGCAUCCAAAGACAAACGUCAACUUGAUCUGGUAUUCAGUCAGGUAAAUCUCUGCUUGUGAGUAGCGCCGUCCUCAGAGUGGGGAGAGUCUUGUCCUUUGAGAGGUCAGUACCCUGAGCAAGACUGCAUACAGAAGAGAAGGCCGGGUUUUGACAGGUCUGAGGUUCUUCUGAGCAGGCUUUCCUGGGAAAGCCCUGGGCUGGGGUUUCAGAGGUGAGUAAGGUAGCCCUUUGGCUCAUUACAGAAGAAUCCAGCAGUCCCUUUGAUGGGCGCUAUUUUGGGAACUACAGGGAAGGGCUUUGGGAGCAAAGAUGGGACUGAUACAAAAUUUUUUUUCCGUUUAAUAAGCCCAGCUCCUGAACUCAAUAUAUUUAAUUUUACAGUGUAGUACAGCCAGGACCCGGUCCAAAAAUGUUCCUGAAAUCUCCGUGAAACCUAGUUAAGGACUGAUUAUCACAAAUCUUGUGCCAUAGCUUCGUGGUAUUUUUAGGAGCCAUUCUGAAGACCAGUGGCAGCACAGAUUAUAGCCCCACGUCACGCCACCCCCCCCCCCCCCCAUGCCCGUCAGCUGGGAUGCAGCUUAUUACCAAAGCCCACCAGUUCCCGGUCUCAGGCUUUCCAGGCACCAGCGUGUGUAAUUAACAGCUGCAUUCAUUGUGCAUUUACCUUUUGCUGGAUGUUUUGUAUACAUUAUCUCAUUUAAAUCUCAGGGUAACCUUAGGGCAAGGAUGGUCAUUUCUGUUUCAUAGUUGAGGACCGUGCGGCUAAGGGUUUUUACGGAGCUUGCCUAGGGUUACCACCCAUAAGUCUCAGCACUUACAGAGCCUGGGGCUUAUGGAAUCCAGCUCUGUGUGAUUCAGGAACCACUGCUUUUUCCGCAGUAGUUCCUGGGUAAUCACCCUAGUGCAGUCCUUGCAGAAAAAGGAGUUAACUUCAGGGCUUCAAAUCCAUGUGGGAGAAAAUUUAGGACAUUUUUAUUACUGCCGUCUCUGCUGUAUGCUAGGCCCUAUCCACAUUCCCACAGAUUGGGUCGUUUGUCUUUCUGACUUCUAGAUAAGCUAAUUUAAAAAAAAACAUUUUUUUUAAUGUUUACUUUUGAGAGAGAGGGAGAGGGAGACACAGAAUCCGAAGCAGGUUCCAGGCUCUGAGCUGUCAGCACAGAGCCUGAUGUGGGGAACAGUGAGAUCAUGACCCGAGCUGAAGUCGGACACCUAACCGACUGAGCCACACAGGCGCGCCCCACCCCCAGAUAUGCUAAUUUUAAGAUUUUUUUUUAUCUUUAUUUAUUUUUGAGAGAGACAGAGUGAGAGUGGGGGAGGGACAGAAAGAGAGGGAGACACAGGAUCUGAAGCAGGCUCCAGGCUCUCUCUGAACUGUCAGCACAGAGCCCGAUGUGGGGCUCGAACCCACGAACUGUGAGAUCAUGACCUGAGACGAAGUCAGAUGCAUAACCGACAGAGCCACCCAGGCACCCCCAGAUAGGCUAAUUUUAAAAAAAGAAGGCAUCUCAUCAUCUUUUUAAUAGCUUCUGUUCUCUUCCAAGUUAAACCAAAGAGUCACUUGUCAUUUGCCUCAGUAAUUGGACUGUGACUUUAGGGGCACCUAGGUGGCUCAGUCUGUUAAGCAUCCGACUCUUAUUUCUACUCAGGUCAUGAUCUUGCGGUUGGUGAGAUUGAGCCCCGCAUUGGGCUCUGUGCUGACAGCACGGGGCCUGCUUGGGAUUCUCUGUGUCAGCCCUCCCCCUGCUUGCACUCACUCUCAAAAUAUUUUUUAAAAAAUCGGACUGUGACUUUAAAUGGCUGCUAGAGUUGGCCUUUUGCUGGUUUGACUCACCUUAAAGUGGUUCUCCGUUUUCAUUGGCCAUGUGAGGACAUGUGACUCUUGAUGCCCCACCACCCCCAGCAAAGCGGAGGCCCAGAUAGGAGAUCAGAGAGCCUGGGUCUGUGGGAAGGUCACUGUGCGCUGGACAGUUUAGUCACUUGGAACACAUUGUCUCGUGGACUCUCCCAACAGUCUCAGCAGGGCCCUGUUGCUGCCCCCAGGGUGUGGGCGCACCUGAUAUGUAGUGGGUGUGGGUUUCAGACCCAGCUCUGUCCUGCUCCUGUAGUUCCUUCCAUAUCACAGGGAAAGGCCAAGGUGGCUUGAGAAGGCGGGCUUCACGGGAUGCAGAGGACCGGACUGAGGCAGCAGGGAGCUCCGCAUUAUUUCUCCCUCUCAGGACCUGUCACCGGGUGCCGCUUACAAACUCAUACUAUGAAAGUCUUAGGAGUUGUAAGUCCCAGAACUCCUAGCAGUGGACAAAAGGCCAUGCAUUUCAGUUAUUGGGUGGAAAAACCCUCUGUGGUUGACCGAGAGAAAACUUACAACAACUGACAUUUCCUCACACCGAGUGUUGCUUGUGUUGUCCCAUGUCCUCAUCGGCAACAUGCGGAUGUUCAUACCUGUUGUGGGAGAGAGAACUGAGAUAGUGAAGUAUUAGCAGAGAGCCCUGCACUGAUGGUGGGGCUCCCGUUGCAUUAGUGGGUACGGCACAGCCUCGUCCAGCUAGCUCAUCAUUGUCUCAACACCUAGGCCCGUCGCAAGGCACAUGCAUGGUGCACGUUCAGUAAACGUUGAGUUACUUAUUUUCUGCCUUCACUUACUCCCCAGAUAUUUGAGCACCUAGUGUUGUGUCUUAGGGAGGCCAUGGGCACUUAACACACCAAGGGCAUUUAUAGCCUUGUGAGAUACACGAUCAUUUACCAACAUAAUCCAAGGAAAGUCUCCUAGUGAUGAGUGGUAGUCAGGUGGUGACCUUUGAGGUUAUAGAGUAUAAAGCUGAUUUUGAAAUCCUUCCCCAGCUCUGUGGUUGAUUUAUGCCAGGGGUGGGAAUGUCCUUACUACUUCGGGCUUUGCUGUCAGAAUUGAACCUUGUGUGCAUUCUAAGCCGGGCUGGACCUGAACAUGUCUUGUCAUUGCUCUGUGACUGAAGGAUGAUCUAAUGUGUAUUGUGAGGCCAUUUGGUUUCAAGAAAUGAUAGUUUGCUGAGGAACACGGGAUGGGUAUGGGAAAUUAGGAAAGAACUAGAAAUUAGAGCUCUGCUGCAGCUGACUAAACCCACUCUUACCUGGUGGGCAGCCGCUCGUGGUUUGAAAGGGUUUGGCAAAUCCCUCAGUUUCUUGUCCUCAUGUGGAGUCUGGCUACUUUUCCUCAGUUUUUAAUACUUGCCAAGUACUGUGAGCAACAGAAUUCCAGACCGAGCUGCUAACUGCAUGAAGAUUGCAUGGCUGCUGCUGAAAACAAUAGGAUGGUAAAACCAUUGUUACGUACGUCCUCUCUUCUGGUCCCACAGGAGUCCUGUAAGAGUGUCUCAUCUCUGCUUUAUAGGUAAUAAAGCUGAAGCACAGAGAGGUUUUGUGACAUGCCUGGAGUCACACAGUAAAAAUGCUGUUGGACUAUUUGAACCCAAGUCUUAAAACUCCCAAGUUCAGAGCUUGCUUUGUUGUUUUUCAUCAUGUAAUGUUUCCAUAUUGAGGUACCAGAAGUCCUCGGUCAGUACCAUUGCCUUUGAGUUGGUGCGCUUGUGCACACAGGGUACAUGACACAGUUUUAGGUGGUGAAGAAUCUGGACCAGGAAUGGAAUUCUGCAGUAAUCGCCUUCUGGAAAGUUCCGUGGCCGUUUCUGAUUUAGAGCCUGGAACAGCAAACCAUUUCCCCUGCAGCCCAGCUCAGAGGACCCUGCUCUGCAAAACCUCCAUCGUGGGUGGGGACAGGUAGUUGUUUGCCCCAUGAGUGUUGUAUUCAUGUUCCUGUUACACAGCUAAUUACUGCACCUUAACUACCUGACUACCUACCUACCCAGGCAGCCCAUCAGCUCCCCGGAGACCUAGAAAGAGUCCCGUUCACCAUUGUAGCCCCAGAGCCUGGCUUGUUUUGGCCCUGCAUACACAUGAAAUGUAUGAACACAUGCAUGCUUAAUCCAGGCUCUGUUUUUGCUCUCCUCACUCUACCCCCCAUUGUCUGUUUUUUAUGGAUUUCUUUAAGUUUCUUUAUUUUUGACACAGACAGUACGAGCAGGGGAGGGGCUGAGAGAGAGAGAGAGAGAGAGAGAGAGAGAGAGAGAGAAUCCCAAGCAGGCUCCUUGCUGUCAGCACAGAGCCCAACAUGGGGCUCAAUCUCAUGAACCAUGAGAUUAUGACCUGAGCCAAAAUCAAGAGUUGGACGCUUAACUGACGGGGCCACCCCGGUGCCCCUGCAUUUUUUUUUUUUUUAAUAGAAUCUGGAAGGAGAAGGAAGUGUAAGGGUGGCAGAUAAAAUUAAAAUUUUUAGUUUGGCUUCUCACCAGUAGCUUUUGGGAAAGUGUUUUAAGGAAAUGAGUCUCACUUGGGGCUUGAGGAUGGUCCGGUCCAUUCCAGUGAAUAAACAAGCAUUGACUGCAGCUACGGUUUAUGUGGAAUGCUUGCACGUUCUUUCCUCAGUGUCCCCUUGUAGCCAGUGGAAUGUAAUAAGUGACAUUCUAGGGGGCCCAAGAGUGACCAGACUUUUCCACAGUUUGGAGAACUUUAACAUAUGGUGGCUUGGGAUCUCAUGAGUUCAUUUAUGUCUGGAAACGUAAGUGGGGUAAGAUUUACUGCUAAGUAAAUGGGGGCUUCAGCCACGUUUUUCAAGGCGUGAAUGGAACUUACUCAUUUGUUCACUCCACUGAUAGACACCAUUCAAAGUGUUUUUGCUGUGUAGCAGGAGAUAACUUUCUGCAGACCUUUUCCUUAGGACGGUACGUCUUAGAUCACAGACAUGUGGAGGCAGAGGUGAGGGGGCAGAUGAACAAGAAACUGUUCCGGGGGCGCCUGGGUGGCUCAGUCGGUUAAGCAUCUGACUUGAGCUCAGGUCAUGAUCUCACGGUUCAUGAGCUCGAGCUCCGCAUCAGGCUCUGUGCUGGCAGCUCAGAGCCUGGAGGCUGCUUCAGUUUCUGUGUCCCCCUCUCUCUCUCUGCCCCUCCCCCACUCACACUCUGUCUCUCUCUCUCUCCCCCUCAAGAAUAAAUAGACAUUAAAAAAAAAAAAAAUUGAAAAACUAAAAAAAAAGAAACUGUUGGACCUAGGUCUUAUAUAAUUUUUUUUCUCUGGAAUUAAUUCGCUUGGAAUAUAUACUUUAGCAACUGUCUGUGUUUGGCUCCAGCCUUCCUCUUUGGGUGUCAAUCCUGGUUUCAUCUCUGAGUUUUUUCAAUAGGAGAAUUUGACAUUCACAUUCUGAGAGUGCUCUGUAAUGUUUCCAUUUACAUACUAGUUUCCCUCGUUUUUUGGCUGCAGGGGUAUAUGAAUACAUACAAGAAUCUGAGGUUCAUUUUUAGCUGCAGCAGAGGCAAGCCCCAGGGGAAAAGUCAAGAUAGCUGGAUUCCUGAAAUGGUAACUUGGCAACUUAUCUUUUCUGGUUCUGAGCCUACAAAAUGUUCUUUAGUUUUAGAACAUAAGUAGCUCGUAUCUGUAAAGGUCUUCGUUAAAAUGCUGCGUUGAAUGCAUCAAGAGCCCUUAUAAUCCUUACCCCUUUAACCCGAGGUACCUGUCAUCGGCUUGAAAGCAGGCCAGAGCAAGGGGGGACAGUAUAUAUGGUAAGGUAUUAAAAUUGGUCAUGCCUUCCUGGCACAAGGAAAGGAAAGAGAAGUAAUGUCUUGUGUGUUAAAAUGCGAGGUUUUGUGGUGAUUCAGAGCACCUGCAAGGAAAUAGUCCCGAGGUAAAGAUUAGCGGGGUUUGGGAUUGGUGGGAGGGAUUCGACAUUUUGAAAGGCCUCAUAAAUGUGACCAUUUAUGUGACAGCCUGGGAAGAAUGACCACCACUGGAACGAGGGGUAGCCAGAAGGGCUUAGGUGAUUCUUUAUGAAGUCAGGCAUGGAUCCCCAAGCGGACUGGCUAGACGAGGACGUCAUAAAACCCUGAUUCAGGUAUGCUUCUAUUUUUAUGAAGCAUGGCUUGAAGCAUGGUUUCUGUGGUUAAACCCUGGGGAAAUAAAGGGAGGUCCAGCUCUCUAGGUGAAGGAGGUUAAUGCCUGUUUGUUGAAUGGAUGUACAGACCAGACUCCUGAAUGCCCUUUUCCCCCUCAAUCUCCGAGCAAAUCUGUCAUUGCUGGCUGAGCUCUGUAAAGGCACGACUACAGGUAGGACUCUUCAGCCCCAAAUGAAAUAUUCCCUGAUAAGCUUUGGCAGAGAGGUCUUACCUGUCAGAGGCCCUUGAUGCUUUCUAAGAUAUGCUUUUAUUAACAGUUGUUUUAACAGGGGAUGUUUUUCUAUAGCAGCUGUUGCAAAACAAUGGAAAUAUUCCGAUGAGUAAAUUUUGAAGUUCCAAAUUGAGGAAUGAUGCUUUUGAAGUCAGAUAACAGAACCAAAAGGUUAAAAAUACAUUAAAAGUUCCAGUUUUAUUUAAAAAAAAAAAAAAAGAGCCUUAGAUGAAAAGUCUCAAGCAGUUUCCAGCUUAGUUGAAGAGGUAAGCUUUCUGCAUUUACAUUAAUUAGGAGAGCCAUGUGGUGCUGACUGAGGGAUCUGUAUGGCUGUGGCUCAGCAAAGGGAGAAGGGUUCCAUGGAGACUUGAUGUAGGAGGACUGGAACAGCUUGGGAUGCUUUUCUCCUGCUCGCUGCUUGAUUGACUGUGUGUGGAGCAUUCCAGGGAGAGGGACCUAGGCCAGAGGAGGGUCAUCGCAGGGACCCAGUGGGGCAACAGAGUGCAUAGGUGAUAUUUUUUAGAGAAACGUCAGAUCGGUUUAUCAAACCUUCCCUGGGUCCCUCCUGUGGGCUAGGCUGAGUGCAAAGGGCUAGGGGUACAGAGUUGACAAAACCCAGGCAUGGGUGGCCCUAUGGGAGCUUACUAUAGUAAAGGACACAGUAAUAAUGCCCUGUAAAUUCUGACACGGUUAUGGCCCCUAACAUAAUCUAGCUCUGCUAGCGUGCACACCAACCGUGUGACAUUGGCCUUAUUCCUAGUUUGCGAUGAGGAAGUCAAGUGCCUAUGGUUUGGGUGAUUUGCCGCCAGUGCUGGGCUUCAGUCCCUGGCCCUCAGAGUUUAUAUCCUCAUCACCACAUCGCACUGUGCUUCCCCCGGGCUAGAAAAAGUAGCCUAACGAGCCCCCCCCCCCCCCCCCGCAAAUCAGCUGACUGCCCUCCUCAAAGAUAGAUGGGCAGGUAGAUAGGUAGAGAGAUUAGAAAGACAGAUUGACUAGACAAGACGCUCACAGUAUCAGAGGAGGGUACGACUGAAUGCGUGCUGGCUGCCUCUACGUUGGCACUUGGUCCAUUGGUCCAAGGUCUUCCUGAUCAGCAGUGACGUCACCUAACUGCCUUAUGUCAUUAUCCUCCACCAACCCUCAGGUGGUCCUUCCAUCCCUCUGUACUUCCAGGCCUGUGCCUGAUAGGUGCCUGUCCAGGCACAGGCCUUGGGCAGGGAAUGUGCAGAGGGGUGUGAGGCUCAACCCCUGACCUGGAGGUGUAUGCAAUCUGUUUUGUCUGAUUACAAUCAAAUAAUUCUGCUUCACGGCCUCCGGUUUUCUUCUCCUUCCACAUUCCUCCCGGUUCGUCUGCUUUGUUCCCCUGGCAGCAUUAUGGGGUGCACUCCCUGCCCUGCCGAGAGGAGCUCCUUUGGGCUCCCCGCAGGCUGGCCCUCAGGGAACCCUCCCUCAAGGUGUGCUCGCUCCCCUUUUCACCCGCCCGGCCCUUCUUCCAUCUGGGGCUCCUCCCUUUGGCGUGAAGGCCUGCACUCUCCUGAGCGUGUCCUCCGGGGUCAGUCUUGCUUCCCUGUCAUUUCGUAAGGAUGAGCACAUGGACAGCGAAGGCACCUGCUCACCCGGGCAUCCGUUUAGACAGCCGAACGCUGCCGCGUUAGUAAGUUCAGUAAAUGUGUCGGCUGCUCUGCAUCUUGAACCCCCACCGCAGUCCUGGUGUAAAUAUAGAUCGGCACGAAGGUGAUGGUGGCCGCUCACCGUGCACUUACUGGGCAGGCACGUUCUGAGAGCUUGGUAUGCUUUGCCUCCCAGAAGCCUGCAGUG